rnacentral:rRNA from 1 species
UAAAGGGUGCGCAGGCGGACAUUUAAGUCAGGGGUGAAAUCCUACAGCUUAACUGUAGAACUGCCCUUGAUACUGAAUGCCUAGAGUAAAGCUGAAGUGGGCGGAAUGUGUUGUGUAGCGGUGAAAUGCUUAGAUAUAACACAGAACACCAAUCGCGAAGGCAGCUCACUAAACUUUAACUGACGCUCAUGCACGAAAGCGUGGGGAGCAAACAGGAUUAGAUACCCUGGUAGUCCACGCCCUAAACGAUGAUCACUCGCUGUUGGCAGUAUAUUGUCAGUGGCUAAGCAAAAGUGAUAAGUGAUCCACCUGGGGAGUACGACCGCAAGGUUGAAACUCAAAGGAAUUGACGGGGGCCCGCACAAGCGGAGGAGCAUGUGGUUUAAUUCGAUGAUACGCGAGGAACCUUACCAGGGCUCGAACGCAGGAGGAAUACUCCCGAAAGGAAGUAGCCAGAAAUGGCCGCCUGCGAGGUGCUGCAUGGUUGUCGUCAGCUCGUGCCGUGAGGUGUCAGGUUAAGUCCUAUAACGAGCGCAACCCCUAUUCAUAGUUGCCAGCAUAUUACGGUGGGGACUCUAUGAAAACUGCCUGCGCAAGCAGUGA